rnacentral:rRNA from 1 species
UACAUAGGUCUCAAGCGUUGUUCGGAUUUAUUGGGCGUAAAGGGUGCGUAGGCGGCGUGGUAAGUCGGAUGUGAAAUCUCGGAGCUUAACUCCGAAACUGCAUUCGAUACUGCCGUGCUUGAGGACUGGAGAGGAGACUGGAAUUUACGGUGUAGCGGUGAAAUGCGUAGAUAUCGUAAGGAAGACCAGUAGCGAAGGCGGGUCUCUGGACAGUUCCUGACGCUGAGGAACGAAGGUCAGGGGAGCAAACAGG